rnacentral:rRNA from 1 species
GUUUGAUCCUGGCUCAGGACGAACGCUGGCGGCGCGCUUAAUAUAUGCAAGUCGAGCGAGAACCAGAGCUUCGGCUCUGGGGACAGCGGCGAACGGGUGAGUAACACGUGAGUAAUCUGCCCUCGGCACCGGGAUAGCCCGGGGAAACCCGGAUUAAUACCGGAUGGCCUCUCGGUCUCUCGGGACCUGAGAGAAAAGGUAGCUUCGGCCUCCGGCCGAGGAGGAGCUCGCGGCGGAUUAGCUUGUUGGUGGGGUAACGGCUCACCAAGGCGACGAUCCGUAGCUGGUCUGAGAGGACGAUCAGCCACACUGGGACUGAGACACGGCCCAGACUCCUACGGGAGGCAGCAGUAGGGAAUCUUGCGCAAUGGGCGAAAGCCUGACGCAGCGACGCCGCGUGCGGGAAGAAGGCCUUCGGGUUGUAAACCGCUUUCAGGAGGGACGAAGCCACUCGGGUUAAUAGCCCAGAGGGUGACGGUACCUCCAGAAGAAGCCCCGGCUAACUACGUGCCAGCAGCCGCGGUAAUACGUAGGGGGCAAGCGUUGUCCGGAUUCAUUGGGCGUAAAGAGCGUGUAGGCGGCCAGGUAGGUCCGUUGUGAAAACUCGAGGCUCAACCUCGAGACGUCGAUGGAAACCAUCUGGCUAGAGUCCGGAAGAGGAGAGUGGAAUUCCUGGUGUAGCGGUGAAAUGCGCAGAUAUCAGGAAGAACACCUAUGGCGAAGGCAGCUCUCUGGGACGGUACUGACGCUGAGACGCGAAAGCGUGGGGAGCGAACAGGAUUAGAUACCCUGGUAGUCCACGCCGUAAACGAUGGGAACUAAGUGUGGGCGGUGUCGACUCCGUCCGUGCCGAAGCUAACGCAUUAAGUUCCCCGCCUGGGGAGUACGGCCGCAAGGCUAAAACUCAAAGGAAUUGACGG